GUAGGGGAGCAAGCGUUGUUCGGAAUCAUUGGGCGUAAAGAGCGCGUAGGUGGCUUGGUAAGUCUGUUGUGAAAGCCCACAGCCCAACUGUGGAACUGCGACAGAAACUGCCUGGCUAGAGUGCGGGAGAGGAAAGUGGAAUUCCCAGUGUAGAGGUGAAAUUCGUAGAUACUGGGAGGAACACCGGUGGCGAAGGCGGCUUUCUGGACCGCAACUGACGCUGAGGCGCGAAAGCUAGGGGAGCGAACGGGAUUAGAUACCCCGGUAGUCCUAGCCGUAAACGAUGGGCACUAGGUGUAGGGGGUAUCGACCCCUUCUGUGCCGUAGCUAACGCAUUAAGUGCCCCGCCUGGGGAGUACGGUCGCAAAGACUAA
rnacentral:rRNA from 1 species